AGCCUAUAAUAAGCUUGAAUAUUUUCUAAGGAUAUUAUUUUCCUUCCAUAUUUCCUACAUGAGGAUGGUUCCUUUUCUCUCCAGUUAUCCUUUCCUCUGUAUCUUCCUGUUGAGCUCCUUUUCAUUAUUACAGUUACUGGUUUAACAGUGAACAAGUUCGUACUUAGGUACAAGUGGUGGAAAAACAACAUGGUUGGUAAGAUAGAUUCAUCAAAAUUUGUGUGCAUUAGAUACGUAAAGAAGUGUUGAAUUGUUCCAUACCGGUGGGUGGUGGCGUUGAAUUGUCCUACAUGGAUGAGUAGGAGCCCGGAGGAAAUUUUUCUUCUUCUAUGAUUUUGAAGAAUUCACAUCUCCGAGUGUGGGUGGUAUUAAAUUGUCCAACAUGGAUGAGUAUGAGGAAAUUUAUCUUCUUAUAUGAUUUGAAGAAUCCAUAUUUCAUAAGUUAUAAGCGAAUUUUAUUAACCGAAUUUUAUUAGGCUCAAGAUCUAUUUCUUCAGCGAGAAAGAUUGCACUCAUGUAGUGUACUGGCCAAAUUUUAAGUGUGCUGACCAAUAUGAGUUAUGUUAAAUAGAUAUGUACUUAUUUUUUUUUAACAAAAGGUCUUGAGUUCAAGUUUCUUUGUGUAUGUAGUUGCAUUUCUCAAGAAGUAUUUCUUCGAUAUUGAACUUUCUAAUAUUAAUUAAAAUUUAAUCA